GCGAUGAAGGGCGUGCUAAUCUGCGAUAAGCGCCGGUAAGGUGAUAUGAACCGUUAUAACCGGCGAUACCCGAAUGGGGAAACCCAGUGUGACUCGUCACACUAUCAUUAACUGAAUCCAUAGGUUAAUGAGGCGAACCGGGGGAACUGAAACAUCUAAGUACCCCGAGGAAAAGAAAUCAACCGAGAUUCCCCCAGUAGCGGCGAGCGAACGGGGAGGAGCCCAGAGCCUGAAUCAGCAUGUGUGUUAGUGGAAGCGUCUGGAAAGGCGCGCGAUACAGGGUGACAGCCCCGUACACAAAAGCGCAUGUGCUGUGAGCUCGAUGAGUAGGGCGGGACACGUGGUAUCCUGUCUGAAUAUGGGGGGACCAUCCUCCAAGGCUAAAUACUCCUGACUGACCGAUAGUGAACCAGUACCGUGAGGGAAAGGCGAAAAGAACCCCGGCGAGGGGAGUGAAAAAGAACCUGAAACCGUGUACGUACAAGCAGUGGGAGCACCCUUUGGG
rnacentral:rRNA from 1 species